CACACACGCACACACGCCCAGCACGCGUUUCCCUGGCCAGGUGCCCCCUCGCCGGCGGCGCGGGGCCCGCGGGGAUGCGUCCCGGAGCGCGACACCGACGGAUAGACGGCGAGGGAGGGAGCCCGCCCCCCCAGCGCCUCCCGAGCGCCCGCAGCACCGACGCCGGGACCCCGCCGAAGGUGCGCCCGGCGCGGCUCGGGCCAGGACGUCCCGGGUUCUCCGCUCACCUUAACGUUGCUGAAGAUAGAGCGGGGACAGCGGCCGGCUCGGCCCGCAGAGGCGCCGCUGCCCUGGCGCGCGCCGGGCUCGGCCCCCCUGGAGUCAACAGAGAAGGCAACGUCGUCUCAUUUCACAGAUGAGAAAACAGAGGUCCUGAGAGGUGAAGUCAGUGGCCCUGAGCCCCCUGCCAGGAAGUGAACUUUCUGGUCUGAGUCUGGGCCCCUCAACUUCUCGGCACUGUUCCUUCAAACUCACUGCUCCAGGGACCAGAGCAUUUCCCUCCAAGGAAGGAAGAAAGUAUUUUCUCUGAGAAGAGCUUCACACCUGAGUCAAGCUCGCAGGCACCCAGUCUGCUCGUCCUAUUUAAUGCGCCAGAGCUUCAUCUCUUAACAUGUAUUUGCUAAAUAAAGUUACUUCUCCCUGCA